UACGGGGGGGGUAAGCGUUGUUCGGAUUUACUGGGCGUAAAGCGCACGUAGGCGGAUCGUUAAGUCGGGGGUGAAAUCCUGGAGCUCAACUCCAGAACUGCCUUCGAUACUGGCGAUCUUGAGUCCGGAAGAGGUGAGUGGAACUCCUAGUGUAGAGGUGGAAUUCGCAGAUAUUAGGAAGAACACCAGUGGCGAAGGCGGCUCACUGGUCCGGUACUGACGCUGAGGUGCGAAAGCGUGGGGAGCAAACAGG
rnacentral:rRNA from 1 species